UUGCGCCUGCCAGUUGACCUCAUUGAGCUUCAGUUUCCUCAUGUGUAAAUCUGGAAUUCUGUCUGCCUCUUAGUGGUCUCAUAGUGGUUGUGUUGUCAAGCUUGGAAGAGACUGUUUUAAACUAUCUGGCACACAGUAGGCGCCUUGACUCCCUUGAUGUACUAGUUAUAUUAAUGGGAGGAGGAGAAGGCCUCAACAGAGCAAAUUCCAGACAUGUAUUUUGACCCUGUUAUGGUACCGGAGCUGUCUGAGGAAAGGGUGAUCUCCCACUUCUGGGGUGGGCCAGGAAGGUUGAGGGAUUGCUAAGAGGCCUGGUAGGUAUCUCUGAAUCUUUUUGGCAAGUGUCCCUCAGAGCUGGCCUGAACAUGUGUAACCUGGGGGGCCUGAUGGAGGUGGAGCAUCUUGGGCUGGGAAUGGUGCGUUGCGAAGAGGAGCUGGAGGGGUGAAAGGGCUUCCUCUGCCCUGGCUCUGGGCCAUCUGAUUGUUAGCUGAGGCUCCUUCUGUACUGCUCCUUUCUUAGAAAGAAUCUGGUCCUUGUAGUUCCUGAGCUGCCCAAGGACUGGGGACAGAUGUGUGCAGUGAGAGAAGAGGACAGGUGGACAUGCCAAAGGGCAGAGCAAGUUCAGGGGCAAAACCACCUAGGCUUCCUCCUCCAAAUCAAAAGUCAGGGCGGCUUGAGUCACAGAAGAGGCAGGCCUGAGGCCACAGGUGCCAAGAAUCAGGAAGCUGCUGGAGGGACUGGGCUCCAGGUAGGAUUAGGAAGAGGAUGUGAGGUCAUCUGGGGAAAGGGGAAAGGUGUCAUUUAGUUUAGAGCUUGAAGGACCUUAGAAAUAGAGUCUGGAAAGAUCUGGGGAGGAGAGACCCAGAGAGGGUUGGGACUUUCCCAAAAUCACAGCGCAGGCUAGGACAAAAACCCAGAUCACCUGGCUCCCAGCCUGGGGAUCUUGUUGCAG
rnacentral:lncRNA from 1 species